GGCUCCACGGCGCGGCCCGGGCCGGGGCUCGGCGGCCCUGCAGAGAGGGCCCAGGUGCCGGCGCCGGGCUCCCUCCAGCCCUCGUGGCGGUCGGUGCGCUGUGCGGGGCGGAGAGGGGUCCGCGGUGGGCUUCGGGGCGCGGGCCGAAGGGAGCGAGCCCGGCCCGCGGCUUCAGCGCUCCCCGGCCGGCGCGGAACGGGUGAGGCUGGGCGUCCGCGCGCGUUUCGAGAAAAGGAAAGACAAAAAGUUUUGGCGGCCAGGGGCUUCCCGGGCGUUUGUCUCGAAACUCUUUUCGCCGUCUCUUGGCUGAAAUGUGCCGAGCCCGGUGCGGCCCUGUCGUCCCACUUCCUGCUGCGGUUUCCCCCGCGAGCGGGGCUCGGCUCAUGUGUUGUGACAGCUGCCGGCGGCCGCCCCCAGCCCCUGACAUCCCGCGGGUUUCCGAACCGCGGCGCCGCCGGGCGCAGACUCCGGGUCCGGGGCGCUCGGCCCUUUCCUCCGCGGCGCCGUUUCCUGCAGGGGCUGCGCGGCUGCGAAGAACUUGCUCAAUGCGCUGUGAAGGCGCCACGGUUCCUCUUUCGGCCGCAGGCUGCGCCGAUGGUCCCGGGCGCCCGGCUUCGCGCCCCUGCCCCUUCCUUCUCUUCCCUUCUCUCUUUUCCUCUCCCGUCUCUCCGCCCACCCGCCGCAGCCCCGCAGGAGAGGGGUCGCUUCCCUGGGUCCUCUCCUGUCCCUUGUGUGUCCCCUUCUUGUUCCUCGGUCUGCAGAAGAGACGGGGCGGCGGGUGGGGAGCGCCGGGGGAAGAGGGCAAGAGCGCGAGCAGAGAUGCCCGGCUUCGCGCUCGGCCGGAGCUGCGGGGCCACCCGGGCCCGCGCUCAGUCGCUCCGCGGUGUCUAGGGGUCGCCUGGGCUGGGGUCGCGUCAUCCUCCGCCCAUCGCCUGCGUGGUGGGGCUUGCGCGAUGCAGGACCCCCGAGGGCACAGGGAGUCCCGAGGCGCUGCGGGUCCAGUGUCCCUUUGUUUGCGGAGUCUUGGGUCAGUAAGGAGGGCUCCGCGGGCCCCAGGGGAGGACAACAGGUGCCUCUCGCGCCACCCGGGCCCCACUGGUGGGAGCUCACACGCACGGCGGCGUCUCUGCCCACAGGCAACGCUAGAGCACAGGAGGGGUGGGAGAUGUGGCUCGAGGACUUCACCCCACGGCAGAACUCAGAGCCCAGUCCAGGCCGUAGGGGCCCGCCUGGGGCCUAGAACUUGGUGUGGCAUAGGUAGAAAGGGCCUCCGACAAUCUGCCUUUACAGUUGGGAGACGUCACCUGGCACCUCUGAGCCUCUGUCCCGUAGGUGGAAUGGGAACCCCAUCUGAGGGGCUCUCACUGUCACCACCAAAUAUGGUCCAGACUCAGUGGGGAGGGACAGCCCCAUCCUGGAAUUGGGGCUUUUAGGACAUCCCAGAGCCUGGUAAGAGCGACAGGGAGAGUGGGGCUUGGAAGUUGGCAGCCUCACAUUCAGUGUCCCCCGCACCUCCUUCCCCUUCUGUACCCUCUGGUGGCUCCUCUUGUGGCCUCAGCUGCUCCCAGACCCUGUCUCUCUCGCCCUCCCCCAAGCUGAGGUGCUGAGGCCGGGUUGUGGCUUGAGCUGCACCUGUGCCCUGGUAGGGAGUGGGGGUCCCAGGCCCAUCGCGUUUCUCCUCAUUGCUGGCUCCAGCUCAGCCCCUGGCAGGCCCCCCGUCCCCAGACUUCUGGAACAAGCUCCGCGGAGACUCGGCCUGGCCGCCGCUCCCGGGCUGCCAAGUGGACCGGCCGUUUCGCCGCUUCAAAGGCUGUCUUUGUUUCGCUCCAGCUCAAGCUCAGAGAAACUUAAGCCAACAACCUCAGCCGAGGGGGCGGGGCGGCGUCUGCUGGUUGUUAUUGAGGCUGCUGUUACCAUUAUUGUGGUAAUUGACGCACUGUUCCCAGUCGGUGACUUUUCAUGAAAGGAAGUGUCACUUCCUUCCCAUCACACCCAGGGUGAAUGGGGCGGGCAGCAGAACGAUGGGGAGGGAGGGAGAGAAGGAAAGGGGUGUGCGCCUCCAGCAGACCCUUAAGCUUGAGAGCUGUGUGGCCUUGUACUAGUCAUUGCCCCUCUCUGGGCACCAGGGGUCUGUAAGUCCUGCACCCAGGAGGCUGAUGUUUCCGGAGCAGCUGCUGGGCAGCAAGGUGCCUUGGGGAGGGAGCAGGACAAGCAGGCCUCCUGUCUUCUCACUGAGCCUGGCUGUGGUUUGUGGGGGAAGCCUCCUUUCUCUUCUCGCUUUCUUCCGCUGAGAACAUUGGGCACAUUGAGUCUAGCACGCCCAUCUUGUGGAUGGGAAAGGGAGAUACAGAAGCAGUGACCAACUUGGUAAGAGGUGCAGCCAUGCGGUGCUAGAGCCCCGUGCCCCAUCUGUCCUCUUGGCCCACUCUCAUCUCCUUCCAGCUUGAUGUCUGGCAGGGCAGGGGGCCCGCUGACUUCCCCACAUCCACCCACUGCUCGGCCCUAUAGCUACCUUCUAGUCCUCGCUAAGCCCCAUGAGACAUCUUAAGUUUGUCUUCAGUGACUCUCGACCACCGCCGCAUUGCCUUCACCUUCCUGCCUUUGCGUACCCCAACUUCACCAGGUUGGCUGGGCCCUGGCCAGAGCUGGCCCCCACUCUGUCAGGUAACAGGGAGCAGUUUUUUUUAAAAGGAAUCUCAGUAGGUAUCAACAGGUCUUUCCUCCUUCCUCAAGAUUAUGGAGAUAACACCCCUUAUUCAAAGACGGUGGGGCCUCCGGCCCCUCCCCCACCCAGGCCAGGAAGUUGAUUCACAGGGUGUGGGGGCCGUGCCCCCCCACACCCCCACUGCCCAGCUCUCUGACCAGCCCCCUCCCAUCCCUGAGCCUGGAUGCCUUAGCAGUCAACACAGACCUGCUCUUGCUAGCAGAGUGACCGGAGCAAUAUGCUGGGAAACUGCACAUCUACUUGGGGAAAGGGGAUGAGCUUGCACCCUCUGAGCACAGAUAAGGAACUUGAGGUCUCCCUGCUCCUAUUACAAAGAAAAAAAUCUGUAGCUGUCAGGGAUCAGCGUCUCUCAGGAGUCAGACUACCCUGGUUCUGAAUCCCAGCUCUGCCAUGGAUAAGCUGCGGGGCCCCAGGCAAGUUAGUGAACCUCUCUGAGCCUCAGGCAUUCUAUCUGUUAUAUCUGGAUGGCUGGGAAGAUUCAACAAAGCCGCGUUGCGUGAGAUGCCCAGCCCACGCCAGCCAGGGCACUGAUUUCAGUCGGUGGAGCAUAUAACUUGAGAACAAGUAGAUCUGUGGAAGCAUCCUCUACUGGAGGGAGUGACAGAUUAACCUCUUCAGUGCUGGAGUGUUAGGAUCUGGGAGUGGAGCUUGACUCAGACAGGAGCCAUGGAGUUGGAAAGAAAUCAGACUCAUAGCACAGGAAGAGGCUCAGGCAAUCCUCCUGCUGAGCACCCUGCUGCACCCUCUCUCUGCCUAGUGAGGGACGGGGUCACUAUGAGCCCAGGCUCGUCUUCUGGUGCAGCCACCUAGCCUGCCUUGGCCCUCUUCCCAGCAAUGAAAUGAGGAAAUUGAAGGGAGGCUUGUGGAGUGACCUACCGUUGUCAGGGUUUUUCUAACACCAUUUUCUAGCUGCACAAAACUCAAGGAACAAACUAGGAAUAAACCUCCCCAAGAAAGCACAGGGGCUUUUUAAGAAGGAACUUCUGAGGAAUGCAGAGGGAAACCUGAAUUAUGGAGACACAUGGUCCUGAAAAGAAAGAUGCAGUACUGGCCGGGCGCGGUGGCUCAACCCUGUAAUCCCAGCACUUUGGGAGGCCGAGACGGGCAGAUCACGAGGUCAGGAGAUCGAGACCAUCCUGGCU